rnacentral:rRNA from 1 species
GGAUAACCUGCCCUAAGGAAGGGGAUAACCCCGGGAAACUGGGGAUAAUACCCUAUAGGUUACAGAUGCUGGAAUGCCCUGUAACCAAAAGUUCCGACGCCUUAGGAUGGAUCUGCGGCCGAUUAGGUAGUUGUUGGGGUAAUGGCCCAACAAGCCUGUAAUCGGUACGGGUUGUGGGAGCAAAAGCCCGGAGUUGGAUUCUGAGACACGAAUCCAGGCCCUACGGGGCGCAGCAGGCGCGAAAACUUUACAAUGCGGGCAACCGUGAUAAGGGAACCUCAAGUGCCUGUAAACGCAGGCUGUUCAGGUGUCUAAAUCACACCUGGAGAAAGGGCCGGGCAAGACCGG